ensembl:lncRNA
UCUAGGGAGAGACCUGUUGUCUGUAACCAGUAACUAGUCUAGGGAGAGACCUGUUGUCUGUAACCAGUAACUAGUCUAGGGAGAGACCUGUUGUCUGUAACCAGUAACUGGUCUAGGGAGAGACCUGUUGUCUUUAGUUAAAUUUAUUUAAAUGAAUGUAAUACACAUUAUUAUAUCCUUCUGGCUAAAUCCCAAAUGGCACCCUAAAUGACCAGUUCAAAAGUAGUGCACUUUAUAGGGAACAGGGUGUCAUUUGGGCCAAAUAUAGGAUAAUUUGACUGUAGCCUUCUGCGUUCAGCAGAGACCACUUUUUCCUUGUUGGCACUUUAUCUGUUGGUUAGUAGGUGUUAUUAUAUUAUUGAACCUCUUGAGCCAUACGCUAUUGGGUUAGUCAGACUGAUCAGCAAGUCUCAAUAAGGUGUUGGGAUCAACAAGUCUCAAAAAGGUGUUGGGUUAGUCAGGCUGAUCAACAAGUCUCAAUAAGGUGUUGGGAUCAACAAGUCUCAAUAAGGUGUUGGGUUAGUCAGGCUGAUCAACAAGUCUCAAUAAGGUGUUGGCAUCAACAAGUCUCAAUAAGGUGUUGGGUUAGUCAGGCUGAUCAACAAGUGUCAAUAAGGUGUUGGGUUAGUCAGGCUGAUCAACAAGUCUCAAUAAGGUGUUGGCAUCUACAAGUCUCAAUAAGGUGUUGGGUUAGUCAGGCUGAUCAGCAAGUCUCAAGUCUCAAACACCUUAGUAAUAUAUUCUGUCCAUGGACUCAUGCUACUCAUAUUCACUGGGGUUGUGUGUCCCAAAUGGCAACUCAUUCUACAUUUGACCAGGGCCCAUAUGGGGGAUAGGAGGUCAUUAAUGACCGGGGCCCAUAUGGGGGGGGAUAGGAAGUCAUUAAUGACCAGGGCCCAUAUGGGGGAUAGGAAGUCAUUAAUGACCAGGGCCCAUAU